CUCUCUCUCUGCUCCUGACUCCCCUGAGCUGAGCAGCUUCCUCUGCUGCUCCCUUCCGCCAUGAUGUUCUGCCCCACUCAGGCCCAGGGCUGCUGAGUGGGUGGACCACGGACUGAGCCUCUGGAACUGUGAGCCCCAAAUAAACUUUCCUUGUCAGGUGUUUUGGUUACAGUGAUGAAAAGCUGAUAAACCUAUCAACCGCCUAACUGUCCUCAUUUCUAUAAUUUUGCCCUUUUAAGAAUGUUGUAUAAAUGGGAUGAUGGCAGGUAACCCUUUGGGACUGGCUUUUUUUAGUUGGCAUUGUUCUCUGGACAUUCCACUUGUGUGUGUCCAUAGUCUGUUCCCUUUUUGUUGAGUAAUAUUCCGCAGGACGGGAGUAACAGCUCCUUUAACCAGUCCCCUGGUAUUGGGACUUCAGGAUACUUUCCAGUAUUUGUUACAAAUAAAACUGCUAUAAACAUCGAUGCAACAGUUUUUGUGUGAAUAUAAGUUUUCGUUUUUCUGGGCCAAAUGCCCAGGAGUGAAAUUGUGGGUCACAUGUUAAUUACAUAGACUAUUUCUUUUUAAGACUAGAAUUGAUUUUGUGGAACAGAAGUG
rnacentral:lncRNA from 1 species